CCUUUAAAUCUGUUCCUUUGCCGGGUUGCACAAUGCUCAACUUUGCCGGGAGAGGGCGCUGACGGCCAUUUCUUGAGGCGGAGGCUUCGCUUCCCGGUUGUGAUGCGCUUCUCUGAUCUGGCUUCUGCAGUAGCCCCAGCUUCUCCAGCUCAGCUCCUGCCACGGGUACAGGCUCCUUCGGCGCAGGUAGCCAGCAGCACCCACCAUCAGCUGCUUCCCCGUAGCACCCCACGCCUACCCUGGGAGCAGUGGAGCGCCUCUAUCCCAGCCCCCUAAAGCAUGGCUUUCCAGAAAGUUCCAUGGGGCCAGCGCUGGACUUCAGCAACUUCUCUACUAUCCAAUGAGCCACAGCCGUUCCCUCUCCAACCAGGUCUGGAGCUGGGGCUGGAUGGGGGCCCUUCCGGCUGGGGGAGAAAGUGAUCUCUCCAGGCCCUGGGGAGGAAGGCUGCUCUUUAUGUCUGCUAUUCCGAUAUUUUUCAGAGUCCUCUUUACUUCUUACUAGCCAAUCCCUUGUUACUCCAGCCCCCGGUUACAGUUAAUAACUCUUUCUGUUAAAGUUUUCCCGUUCAAAUUACUCUGUGCUUUCUCUCAGACGGAAAUAGAUCCCACAUAUCGUUAUGAGGAUCGGGAGGAGGGAGAGCGCUUAGCUCGUGCCUGACGGGCAGGGAGGACUCGGAAAACAGCAGUGACAUCAUCAUCAUCAUCCCUGUCCUCGCCACCACCCUGUCUCCGUGUACUUGGACAAGGAAAGGGAGACAAUGAGUGCUGUGCUGAGUGGCUGUUCUCUGUCAGGUGAGGUACCGGGUGCUGUUCAUUCCAAUGUACAGAUGAGGGAACUAAGGCUUCCAGAGGAUAAGGCUCAGGCCCCGCCCUCGCCCCGCCCCGCCCCGCUCGGCGGCCCGAGAACCCGGAGCAGAGGCGCUC